rnacentral:lncRNA from 1 species
UUUUUACCAAAGAGAGCCUACAUAAGCACAAUGACUCCUACAGUCCAUCUCUGCAUCACUUAGGGCCACUCCUUUCACCCAGAAGAUCAAGCCUCUUCACCUCAUCAUUUGCCACUUUAAUACGCUGUUCCAUAUUCUGACAAUGUGAUCUAUGUCAUUCCUUCAUGUCAUGUUUAAUGAGCUUUAGGUUUUCUUUUCACAUAAAAUUCAUAUGCAAAGAUUUGUCAAACCCCUUUAUAAAAGCAUCUUGUCACAUAUUUGUCCAUAAUGGAAAAUAUCAAAAUAUAUUUUUGUAUUUUGUAUGACUUAUGCAAUCAUAAAUCUCUUCUAGCAACAACAACAUUAUCUUCUUUCCACUCUUAUUUUUCAACAUUAUUAGAUGCUAGUCACAAACCAAACAUAAACUUCCAAAAACAGUUAUAAUUUAUGCAUAGUACUAUUACUAAUAUAUUCACAUGCAUAACUGUAUAAUAUAUUUCACAUGUCAUGCUAAGAAGUUCCUACGUGUCUUGCAUAUAAGAAUUGUCAGAUAUCAUACUCUAGAGUAUGUGGUUCCUCUAUCUAUCCCGUGAUCAAACAGUGAUUCAAAUUCAAUUAUUCUUAUGCAUCCACAUCAACUAGGAACAAACUUCCAAAAUAUACUUGGUAAACUUUUUGGAUUUUUCCUGAAAAAUAAAACUACUUUUAAAUACUUAUCUAUCUAGUAGGUAUGCUUGUGUUUUUCUAUUAUUACAUUUUCAAUUUUUGAGAUACAUUAUAAAAUAUGGAUACUCAUUGGAUUAGGACUAUACCGGUACAUGUCGUUGUCUGUGUUUGUGUCCGUGCUUUAUAGGUGAUACAUAGUUGAAUAGUAAAAUCUUUUUUUUUUUACAAAAGUUGAAUAGUAUAAUCAUAUAAGAUUAUGAAAUUGUAAUAUAUUGUUGAAUAGUAAAAUAAUAUAACAUUUUGUAAUACAUUGUUUAAGAAAACAAACCUGAAACCACAUUUUUUAAUUAGUUAAAGAUUAUAGGUAUUAGCAUGAUUGCACAAAAUAGUCUUUCUUAUUUAGGUAUUUACACAAACCCUAAUUUAAUUUGAUUGUCUUUAUCAUAGACAGCUAAAGGAAACUAGUCUACAAAAUCUUAUUAUUUAGAUUGUUUUCAUAGACAGCUAGAAGAAACAAAGAGCAGUAAAAAGAUAGAGGACUAGAUUCUAUUUUUGUUUUCAACAAGUUUCUUGCACGAUAGUUAACCCUAUUUGAGGCAUUGUGUUACACUAAAUGUGAAAUUUCGUUUGUGUGCACUCAAAACAUAUCAUGUAAUUACACACUCGGUACAUUCCUGGUUCUUCGAUUAAAAUCGGACAAGUCAAAUUUCAACCUCAAUAUUAUAGAUUUUAAAAUGUAUUCAAAACCUGCAACGUCCGAUCUUAAUUCAACAACUAUCGAUGUGUCAACUGUGUUAAUGCACGAGAUUUUGACUGCAUGCAAUCCAAAUCCCUAAAUGUGGAUAACUCUCUCCCUCGGAAUUCAAAUUUUAGUUCGCCACAUUAUGGGUUACUACCUAUUCGCUAGACCCAAUAUCGGUUAGUGGAAUAGUUCAUAUUCAAACAAUGGGUAUUACUAAGUAAAGUAGAACAAGUAACCAUUUUACGGUCGUUUCUGAAGAGAUUUGAACUCAAGUUAGUUGAAGUUAAAAGAUCAAACUCUUAUUACUGAUGUGACAUAUGAUUGAGAAAUAGUGUCUUAAAUAUAUUUAUAUAGACCUUCAUUAUUUAUUUAAAAGCACAAUACAAAUUUGCAUUCCCUUCACAAGAAGACAUUAUUUCUGAAAACUCAAACCUCAUCACAAUGUCUUGGUUCCUUACAAUUCUGUUUCUCAGUCUCACAUUUGGUACUAAUUUUUCAGAAGCAAACCAUGACAACAAGAAGCUUCUUCCUUCACCUGUUGUAGUUGGCACUGUCUACUGUGACACAUGUUUUCAACAAGCUUUCUCUCUAAACAGCCACUUCAUUUCAGGUAAUCCAUUUCAACCUCAAAAGGGUACUUCAAUUUUAUAUCUCUUAAAAUGUUGUAAAAUUUUUCUAAACCUUAUCAUAUUUUAUUUUGUCCUUGUUUUUAUGUAUAGGUGCAUCAAUAGCUGUUGAAUGCAAAAUAGGAAAAACAAAACCAAGAUUCUAUAAAGAAGUGAAAACAAAUGAACAUGGAGAAUUCAAAGUGAAACUACCUUUCUUAGUGAAGAAACAUGUGAAGAGAAUCAAAGGGUGUAAUUUUAAGUUGUUAAGUAGUAAUGAACCAAAUUGUGCUAUAGCCUCAACUUCUACUUCAUCUUCACUAAGCCUAAAGAAAAAGUUGCAACAAGAACACAUUUUUUCAGCUGGGAUUUUCUCAUUCAAGCCUAUAAAAAAACCAAAAUUUUGUGACAAAAAACAUAGUAUUCAUAACCUUAAGAAACAACAUAGUUAUGUGAAAAAUUUGGAACAAUCAAAAUUUUCAAGCAAAAAUAAAGUACCUAAUGAAGUUGAAGAUUUCUUCUUUUUUCCUCCAAACCCUUUUUUUCCACCACCUAUUAUCCCUAAUCCACUUCAACCUCCACCUUUGAUUCCUAACCCUUUGCAACCACCACCUUUGAUUCCAAAUCCAUUUCAACCACCAAGUCCACCCUUGAUUCCUAAUCCAUUUCAACCACCAAGUCCACCACUUAUUCCAAAUCCAUUUCAACCUCCUCCAUCAAAUCCACCACUUAUUCCUAAUCCAUUUCAACCUCCCCCAGCAAGUCCUCCACCACUCAUUCCAAAUCCAUUUCAGCCUCCACCAUCAAGUCCACCACCAUCAUUUCCUUUUCCACCAAUAGUAAUACCAGGUUUAACUCCAUCACCACCGCCGCCG